GACGAACGCUGGCGGCGUGCCUAACACAUGCAAGUCGAACGGGGUCCAUGGGAGCUUGCUCCCGGAAGACCUAGUGGCGAACGGGUGAGUAACACGUGAGAAACCUGCCCUGGAGUGGGGAAUAACUCGGGGAAACUCGAGCUAAUACCGCAUACCCUCGGAUGGUCGCAUGGCCGACCGAGGAAAGAUUUAUCGCUUCAGGAGGGUCUCGCGGCCUAUCAGCUAGUUGGUGGGGUAACGGCCUACCAAGGCAACGACGGGUAGCUGGUUUGAGAGAACGAUCAGCCACACUGGGACUGAGACACGGCCCAGACUCCUACGGGAGGCAGCAGUGGGGAAUCUUGCGCAAUGGGCGAAAGCCUGACGCAGCAACGCCGCGUGCGGGAUGACGGCCUUCGUGG
rnacentral:rRNA from 1 species